rnacentral:rRNA from 1 species
AUUGAACGCUGGCGGCAGGCCUAACACAUGCAAGUCGAACGAGUGGCGGACGGGUGAGUAAUGUCUGGGAAACUGCCUGAUGGAGGGGGAUAACUACUGGAAACGGUAGCUAAUACCGCAUACUAUCGGAUGUGCCCAGAUGGGAUUAGCUUGUUGGUGGGGUAAAGGCUCACCAAGGCGACGAUCCCUAGCUGGUCUGAGAGGAUGAUCAGCCACACUGGGACUGAGACACGGUCCAGACUCCUACGGGAGGCAGCAGUGGGGAAUAUUGCACAAUGGGCGCAAGCCUGAUGCAGCCAUGCCGCGUGUAUGAAGAAGGCCGUCGGGUUGUAAAGUACUUUCAGCGGGGAGGCGUUACCCGCAGAAGAAGCACCGGCUAACUCCGUGCCAGCAGCCGCGGUAAUAC